UACGUAGGGGUGCAAGCGUUAAUCGGAAUACUGGGGCGUAAAGCGUGCGCAGGCGGUGAUGUAAGACAGGUGUGAAAUCCCCGGGCUUAACCUGGGAACUGCAUUUGUGACUGCAUCGCUGGAGUGCGGCAGAGGGGGAUGGAAUUCCGCGUGUAGCAGUGAAAUGCGUAGAUAUGCGGAGGAACACCGAUGGCGAAGGCAGCACUCUGGGGACGGUGACUGACGCUGAGACGCCGAAAGCGUGGGGAGCAAACAGG
rnacentral:rRNA from 1 species